GCUCCCCCGCGGGGCCGAGGCGGAGGAACAGCAGCCCGCCGUCGCUGCCGUAGCGGCGCAGGGCGUCCAACGAACGGUGCGGAGCUCGCCGACGAGGUGGAGGUGGCCGACGAAAGGAAGCGCCGGCGGCGACGGCGGAAGCUUCCCCCUUCCACGAUUCUUGAUAGCGAUGACGACGACUAGGAGCAACGCCGCCACCAUGACGACGAGUGAGCCAACCACCACGAUGGCCACUGGUUUUCAACAGAUAGACGGCGUGUCUGGAAUCUAUGACGUUUGAGGGCAUUUUCUGAAGAUAAUCAUCGAUCAUCUUCUGUUGGAGUGGAUGGCUGCUCGCAGUUGCAGGCUACGAUGCUGGUACAAUU